UGAGUAACCUGCCCUUAACUCUGGGAUAAGCCUGGGAAACUAGGUCUAAUACCGGAUAUGACUCCUCAUCGCAUGGUGGGGGGUGGAAAGCUUUAUUGUGGUUUUGGAUGGACUCGCGGCCUAUCAGCUUGUUGGUGAGGUAAUGGCUCACCAAGGCGACGACGGGUAGCCGGCCUGAGAGGGUGACCGGCCACACUGGGACUGAGACACGGCCCAGACUCCUACGGGAGCAG
rnacentral:rRNA from 1 species